AUUGCCUUAGUAACGGCGAGUGAAGCGGCAACAGCUCAAAUUUGAAAUCUGGCUUCGGCCCGAGUUGUAAUUUGCAGAGGAUGUUCCUGGGGCUGGCUCGGGUCUGAGUCCCCUGGAACCGGGGCGCCGCGAAGGGUGAGAGCCCCGUACUGGUGAUGGCUUGGCCCCUGUGAAGCCCCCUCGACGAGUCGAGUAGUUGGGAAUGCUGCUCAAAAUGGGAGGUAAAUUUCUUCUAAAGCUAAUACCGGCGAGAGACCGAUAGCGCACAAGUCGAGGGACGAAGAUGAAAAGCACUUUGAAAAGAAAGUUAAACAGUACGUGAAAUUGUUGAAAGGGAAGCGCUUGUGGCCAGACUCCGCUUUCGGUGGAUCAUCCCGCUUCUCGCUGUGACCCUCUGCUUAUCGGGCCAGCAUCGGUUCCCGCGGGGGGACAAUGGCUUCAGGAAUGUGACUUUCUUCGGUGGAGUGUUAUAGCCCGGGGCACAAUGCCCCCGCGGGGACCGAGGUUCGCGCAUCUGCAAGGAUGAUGGCGUAAUGGCCGACCCGUCUUGAAACACGGA
rnacentral:rRNA from 1 species